rnacentral:tRNA from 1 species
GUUGUGGCUCAGUGGUAGAGUGCUUGUCUGACGUGUGUGUGGCCCUAGGUUCAAUCCUCAGCACCACA